rnacentral:rRNA from 1 species
AGCGAACGUUUGCGGCGGGCCUAACACAUGCAAGUCGAACGCACUAGCAAUAGUGAGUGGCGCACGGGUGCGUAACACGUGGGUAAUCAACCCUUCAGCUUGGGAUAACGACUUGAAAGGGUCGCUAAUACCGGAUACGGCGAGAGAGGCUUCGGCAUUUCUCGAGAAAGCCUCGCAAGGGGCACUGAAGGACGAGCCUGCGGCCCAUCAGCUAGUUGGUGAGGUAAGAGCUCACCAAGGCGAAGACGGGUAGCUGGUCUGAGAGGAUGAUCAGCCACACUGGAACUGAGACACGGUCCAGACUCCUACGGGAGGCAGCAGUGGGGAAUAUUGCGCAAUGGGCGAAAGCCUGACGCAGCCACGCCGCGUGAGCGAUGAAGGCCUUCGGUCGUAAAGCUCUGUGGGGAGAGGACGAAGAAAGCCCGUGAAGAGCGGGCCGUUGACGGGUAUCUCCUUAGCAAGCACCGGCUAACUCCGUGCCAGCAG